rnacentral:rRNA from 1 species
CGCGUAGGCGGAUUUGUAAGUCAGAUGUGAAAUUCCGGGGCUCAACCUCGGAGCUGCAUUUGAAACUGUGAGUCUAGAGGGUUGACGGAGAAAACGGAAUUCCACGUGUAGCGGUGAAAUGCGUAGAUAUGUGGAAGAACACCAGUGGCGAAAGCGGUUUUCUAGUUAACAACUGACGCUGAGGCGCGAGAGCAAGGGGAGCAAACA